CCCGAAUAUAACCCCCCGUGUAUAAGCCCACCACAUGUACUAACGCUCACCUCAUUCCAAAUAUAAGCCCCCUCUCCCGAAUAUAAGCCCACGCGAAUAUAAGCCCACUUGUUUAUCACUAUUGUUUAUCACUAUUACCACUAUUUAUCACUAUUACUACUACAGUAUGCUUGUUUAACACUUGUUUAUCACUAUUACUAUACUUGUUUAUCACUAUUACACUAACACAAAAGAUCGUCCAUGUAUAAGCCCCCCCCCCCCCCGUAUAUAAGCC